rnacentral:rRNA from 1 species
UACGUAGGGAGCAAGCGUUGUCCGGAAUUACUGGGCGUAAAGGGUGCGUAGGUGGCCAUGUAAGUUAGGUGUGAAAGACCGGGGCUUAACCCCGGGGCGGCACUUAAAACUGUGUGGCUUGAGUACAGGAGAGGGAAGUGGAAUUCCUAGUGUAGCGGUGAAAUGCGUAGAUAUUAGGAGGAACACCAGAGGCGAAGGCGACUCACUGGACUGUAACUGACGCUGAGGCUCGAAAGCGUGGGGAGCAAAUAGG